GCCGGGCACAGUGGCACGUCCCAGCUGCUCGGGAGGCUGAGGUGGGAGGAUCGCUUGAGCUCAGGAGUUCUGGGCUGUAGUGCAAGCAAUGCUGACUGGGUGUCCGCACUAAGUUCAGCAUCAAUAUGGUGACCUCCUGGGAGUGGGGGACCACCAGGUUGCUUAAGCAGGGGUGAACCGGCCCAGGUUGGAAGCAGAACAGGUCAAACUCCUGUGCUGCUCAGUAGUGGGAUAGCGCCUGUGAAUAGCCACUGCACUCCAGCCUGGGUAACAUAGUGAGACCCUGUUUCUU
ensembl:misc_RNA Metazoa_SRP Metazoan signal recognition particle RNA